AGGCUCCCGUGAUGCCUAGCACUGGGCUCCGAUCCCCGUGAGGACACCGUGCGCCCCGGGACCUUUGACACCCGGGGGUCUGAGGAGCCU